UCUCUAAUAAUUUAUUUCAAGGAUGCUAUUCACUUCUUACAAAUCGGCAUGCCAGGCUGCUGCUCAGGUGAUCUGCCUCUUGGACCAGCUCUGAAGAUGGGAAAAUGAUCAGUGCAAGAUCCCUGAGAUGCUGAGACACGAUGGGAUGGAGGAAAGCUGUGGGACAAGUGGCCUUUCAUAGGAGGAGGAGCUCCUUGUCAAAUGUGAGGAGCGAAGCAGGACAGGAGCAUGAGAACAGGAAGCCAGAAGUUAUGCGGACACUCAAGCAGCACUAGGGAGAAGCUCAUGAGUGGAAGAACUGAGGCAUCCUGCCAGCAGCCAUGGACUAACCUGUAUUGGGAGCAGAUUCUCCAGCCCCACGUGAGUCUUCAGAUGAUGGUUUUUUUUUUUAAAUAAAAAAUUUUAAAAAAAGAAAGGUAA